rnacentral:sRNA from 1 species
AAUCUGCUGCGGGCAGAUGAAGUGGAUGUGGCUGUCGAUGCCGCCUGCAGUGACGAUGUUGCCCUCGCAGCUGAUGACCUCGGUGCCGGGUCCGAUGAUGAUGUCCACGCCCGGCUGGGUGUCGGGGUUGCCGGCCUUGCCGAUGGCGGCUAUGCGGCCUGCGCGCAAUCCAAUAUCCGCCUUGAAGAUGCCGGUGUGGUCCACCACGAGGGCAUUGGUCAGCACCGUGUCCACCGCCCCCUGAGCGUUGCUGCGCUGGCUUUGUGCCAUGCCGUCGCG